AACGAACGCUGGCGGCAGGCCUAACACAUGCAAGUCGAACGGGACCUUCGGGUCUAGUGGCGGACGGGUGAGUAACGCGUGGGAACGUGCCCUUUGGUUCGGAAUAGCCCCGGGAAACUGGGAGUAAUACCGGAUAAGCCCUACGGUGGAAAGAUUUAUCGCCAAAGGAUCGGCCCACGUUGGAUUAGGUAGUUGGUGAGGUAAUGGCUCACCAAGCCGACGAUCCAUAGCUGGUUUGAGAGGAUGAUCAGCCACACUGGGAUUGAGACACGGCCCAGACUCCUACGGGAGGCAGCAGUGGGGAAUCUUAGACAAUGGGGGAAACCCUGAUCUAGCCAUGCCGCGUGAUCGAUGAAGGCCUUAGGGUUGUAAAGAUCUUUCAGUGGGGAAGAUAAUGACUGUACCCACAGAAGAAGCCCCGGCUAACUCCGUGCCAGCCGCCGCGGUAAGAC
rnacentral:rRNA from 1 species